rnacentral:rRNA from 1 species
UACGUAGGGGGCGAGCGUUGUUCGGAAUUACUGGGCGUAAAGAGCUCGUAGGCGGCUUGUCGCGUCGAAUGUGAAAACUCGGGGCUCAACUCCGAGCUUGCAUUCGAUACGGGCAGGCUAGAGUUCGGUAGGGGAGACUGGAAUUCCUGGUGUAGCGGUGAAAUGCGCAGAUAUCAGGAGGAACACCGGUGGCGAAGGCGGGUCUCUGGGCCGAUACUGACGCUGAGGAGCGAAAGCGUGGGGAGCGAACAGG